UACGUAGGGGGCAAGCGUUGUCCGGAAUCAUUGGGCGUAAAGCGCGUGUAGGCGGCUCGGUAAGUCUGCUGUGAAAGUCCAGGGCUCAACCCUGGGAUGCCGGUGGAUACUGCCGAGCUCGAGUCCGGAAGAGGCGAGUGGAAUUCCUGGUGUAGCGGUGAAAUGCGCAGAUAUCAGGAGGAACACCAAUGGCGAAGGCAGCUCGCUGGGACGUGACUGACGCUGAGACGCGAAAGCGUGGGGAGCAAACAGG
rnacentral:rRNA from 1 species